rnacentral:rRNA from 1 species
AACGAACGCUGGCGGCGCGUCUUAAGCAUGCAAGUCGGACGGCAAGGGUAGCAAUACCCCUAGAGUGGCGGACUGGUGAGUAACGCGUGGGUGACCUACCCUUGAGAUGGGGAUAGCCAUUAGAAAUAGUGGAUAAUACCGAAUACGCUCACGACCCUGUGGGGAUGUGAGGAAAUCAGGCUACGGCCUGGCUCGAGGAUGGGCCCGCGUCCCAUUAGCUAGUUGGUGAGGUAAAAGCCCACCAAGGCGACGAUGGGUAUCCGGGCUGAGAGGGUGUACGGACACAUUGGGGCUGAGAUACGGCCCAAAGUCCUACGUGAGGCAGCAGCUAAGAAUAUUCCGCAAUGGACGAAAGUCUGACGGAGCGACGCCGCGUGGAUGAAGAAGGCCGAAAGGUUGUAAAAUCCUUUUGCUGAUGAAGAAUAAGUGUGGUAGGGAAUGACCGCAUGAUGACAUUAGUCGGUGAAUAAGCCCCGGCUAACUACGUGCCAGCAGCCGCAGUAA